rnacentral:tRNA from 3 species
GCCCGGAUAGCUCAGUCGGUAGAGCAGGGGAUUGAAAAUCCCCGAGUCCUUGGUUCGAUUCCGAGUCCGGGCACCA